AGCAGCCGCGGUAAUUCCAGCUCCAAUAGCGUAUAUUAAAGUUGUUGCAGUUAAAAAGCUCGUAGUUGAAUUUCGGGAUUCUACCGUUGGUCGGGCUAACAAGUCUGUACUGGUGUGUAGAAUUUCUACCUUCUGGGGAACUAUCAUGUUAUUAAUUUAGCGUGGUGGGAAACCAGGACCUUUACCUUGAAAAAUUAGAGUGUUCAAAGCAGGCUUACGUCUGAAUACAUUAGCAUGGAAUAAUAGAAUAGGACGGUGGUCCUGUUUUGUUGGUUUCUGAAUCACCGUAAUGAUUAAUAGGGAUAGUUGGGGGCAUUAGUAUUCAAUUGUCAGAGGUGAAAUUCUUGGAUUUAUUGAAGACUAACUUCUGCGAAAGCAUUUGCCAAGGAUGUUUUCAUUAAUCAAGAACGAAAGUUAGGGGAUCGAAGACGAUCAGAUACCGUCGUAGUCUUAACCAUAAACUAUGCCGACUAGGGAUCGGA
rnacentral:rRNA from 1 species